rnacentral:lncRNA from 1 species
AAAAACCUAAAGAAAAGAGAGAAAAACUCUCUCUGCGCCGCAUCAAAAAUCGAAAGCCCCCCUCCCAUCCACUCAACUCUGAUCAGAAUGGAGGAGGGAUUCGGCGACACCAAACCCAGGUAAGGGUUCUUCCUUUUCUUUUCUGUUUUUCGUAUCAAAGAAAGAAAGAAAUAAAUAAAAAAAGUGUAGUAGAAAGACGCAAAAAAAUGGUAAAUCACCUUUUUUGAUUUCCUUGUAUUCAGUAUGCCCGUGAGGGCCCUUACAAACACUAAAAAAAUGGCCUAAUAUAGCCGAAUCGAAAAGAAAAAUAAAUAAAUCAAAAUACAUCUAUUUUUUCUCUGCCAUCUUUUCCUAUUUUCUUUGUCGCUCCUUUUUUGUUUUUUUCUUCGUUUUGCUGCUUGGUUUCGUUUGUUUUGGUUGUUGCAGGUACAAGGCCAGCCUAGAGAUGUACACACACGGACUUGGCACAAAGGCGCAGCACGCGCGGGGAUCUGGUUCGGCUGCGGCGCAAGGGCAGAAAGCUGCUGAAAGCUAGGGUUUCACUUGGAAUCGGGCCAUGUAAACUGGGUUAAAGUAUUUUGGGCUCAGGUUUGAUGUAAUUCAGGUUAUUGGGCUAGAGUGUAUUGAAAUUGGGCCUAUUAUAUUGGAUUGUAGCUGGACUAUUAUUGGACCUUUAUUUAUUUGAUAUUUUUCAUAUCUGGGUUUUAAUAGUUGGGCUCGGGCCGG